rnacentral:rRNA from 1 species
AUUGAACGCUGGCGGCAGGCCUAACACAUGCAAGUCGAGCGAGCGGCGGACGGGUGCGUAAUGUAUGGGGACUGCCCGAUAGAGGGGGAUAACUACUGGAAACGGUGGCUAAUACCGCAUACUAUCGGAUACCCCAUAUGGGAUUAGCUAGUAGGUGGGGUAAAGGCUCACCUAGGCGACGAUCUCUAGCUGGUCUGAGAGGAUGAGCAGCCAAUCAGGGACUUGGACACGGCCCAGACUCCUAGGGAGGCAGUAGUGGGGAAUAUUGGUUAAUGGGUGCAAGCAUGAUGCAGCCAUGCCGAGUGUAUGAAGAAGGCCUUAGGGUUGUAAAGUACUGUCAGCGGGGAGGCGUUACCCGCAGAAGAAGCACCGGCUAACUCCGUGCCAGCAGCAGCGGUAAUU